rnacentral:rRNA from 1 species
UGGUAGUNCACGCCGUAAACGAUGAGUGCUAGGUGUUAGACCCUUUCCGGGGUUUAGUGCCGCAGCUAACGCAUUAAGCACUCCGCCUGGGGAGUACGACCGCAAGGUUGAAACUCAAAGGAAUUGACGGGGGCCCGCACAAGCGGUGGAGCAUGUGGUUUAAUUCGAAGCAACGCGAAGAACCUUACCAGGUCUUGACAUCCCUCUGACCGCUCUAGAGAUAGAGUUUUCCUUCGGGACAGAGGUGACAGGUGGUGCAUGGUUGUCGUCAGCUCGUGUCGUGGGAUGUUGGGUUAAGUCNNGCAACGAGCGCAACCCCUAUUGUUGGUUGCCAUCAUUCAGUUGGGCACUCUAGCGAGACUGCCGGUAAUAAACCGGAGGAAGGUGGGGAUGACGUCAAAUCAUCAUGCCCCUUAUGACCUGGGCUACACACGUGCUACAAUGGCUGGUACAACGAGUCGCAAGCCGGUGACGGCAAGCUAAUCUCUUAAAGCCAGUCUCAGUUCGGAUUGUAGGCUGCAACUCGCCUACAUGAAGUCGGAAUCGCUAGUAAUCGCGGAUCAGCACGCCGCGGUGAAUACGUUCCCGGGCCUUGU